ensembl:lncRNA
UACAGACAGAAGCAGGGCAAUCAAUAGACAGCUCCAAAGGAAAAAGGAAGAGGAGGGGGAAAGGAGAAAGGUGUACCACAAAUGAGGAGGGAGGAAUAUGUAGAAAAGCAGAUGAGGUUAUUCAAUAAAAGAAGGUCCUCCUUCUCCAAAGUCACAAUAACCUUGUCUAACACAUCCUCUUCCACAGAAACACACUGUAGUUACAAAUACAAACUGAAAGAACAGUAAGCAAGAACCUUUAGAAGUCCAAAAGCCAUUAAAUAAUUAAAUAAGUGCUAUUGAUCCGUGCCCCUUAUCUGAAUCUGUAAGUCUUUAUAGCUAAAGCACCUUUAUCUGAUCUUGCUCCCAU